UAAUACAGAGGGUGCAAGCGUUAAUCGGAAUUACUGGGCGUAAAGGGCGCGUAGGUGGUUAAUUAAGUCAGAUGUGAAAUCCCUGGGCUUAACUUAGGAAUUGCAUUUGAUACUGAUUAGCUAGAGUGCGGGAGAGGGAAGUGGAAUUUCCGGUGUAGCGGUGAAAUGCGUAGAUAUCGGAAGGAACACCAGUGGCGAAGGCGACUUCCUGGCCCGUUACUAACACUGAGGCGCGAAAGCGUGGGGAGCGAACAGGAUUAGAUACCCUGGUAGUCCACGCCGUAAACGAUGAGAACUAGAUGUUAGGGAGCUUAGACUUCUUAGUAUCGCAGCAAACGCGUUAAGUUCUCCGCCUGGGGAGUACGGCCGCAAGGUUA
rnacentral:rRNA from 1 species